AGGACGAACGCUGGCGGCGUGUUUAACACAUGCAAGUCACGGGGGCCCGCAAGGGUAACCGGCGAACGGGUGCGUAACACGUGAGCAACCUGCCUAGAUGUGGGGGAUAGCCGGCCCAACGGCCGGGUAAUACCGCAUACGGUCACGAGGAGGAGUCUCCUUGUGAAGAAACCUCCGGGGCAUUUAGAGGGGCUCGCGGCCUAUCAGCUAGUUGGCGGGGUAAUGGCCCACCAAGGCUUCGACGGGUAGCUGGU
rnacentral:rRNA from 1 species